rnacentral:rRNA from 1 species
AGUGAACGCUGGCGGUAGGCCUAACACAUGCAAGUCGAACGGCAGCACAGUAAGAGCUUGCUCUUACGGGUGGCGAGUGGCGGACGGGUGAGGAAUACAUCGGAAUCUACUUUUUCGUGGGGGAUAACGUAGGGAAACUUACGCUAAUACCGCAUACGACCUACGGGUGAAAGCAGGGGAUCUUCGGACCUUGCGCGAUUGAAUGAGCCGAUGUCGGAUUAGCUAGUUGGCGGGGUAAUGGCCCACCAAGGCGACGAUCCGUAGCUGGUCUGAGAGGAUGAUAAGCCACACUGGAGCUGAGACACGAUCCAGAAACCUACGGGAGGCAGCAGUGGGGAAUAUUGGACACUGGGCGCAAGCCUGAUCCAGCCAUACCGCGUGGGUGAAGAAGGCCUUCGGGUUGUAAAGCCCUUUUGUUGGGAAAGAAAAGCAGCAGGUUAAUACCCCGCUGUUCUGACGGUACCCAAAGAAUAAGCACCGGCUAACUUCGU